rnacentral:rRNA from 1 species
UGGGGAAUUUUGGACAAUGGGGGAAACCCUGAUCCAGCCAUCCCGCGUGUGCGAUGAAGGCCUUCGGGUUGUAAAGCACUUUUGGCAGGAAAGAAACGUCAUGGGUUAAUACCCCGUGAAACUGACGGUACCUGCAGAAUAAGCACCGGCUAACUACGUGCCAGCAGCCGCGGUAAUACGUAGGGUGCAAGCGUUAAUCGGAAUUACUGGGCGUAAAGCGUGCGCAGGCGGUUCGGAAAGAAAGAUGUGAAAUCCCCGAGCCCAACUUUGGAACUGCAUUUUUAACUACCGGGCUAGAGUGUGUCAGAGGGGGGUGGAAUUCCGCGUGUAGCAGUGAAAUGCGUGGAUAUGCGGAGGAACACCGAUGGCGAAGGCAGCCUCCUGGAAUAACACUGACGCUCAUGCACGAAAGCGUGGGGAGCAAACAGG